AGAGUUUGAUCAUGGCUCAGAUUGAACGCUGGCGGCAUGCCUUACACAUGCAAGUCGAACGGCAGCGCGGGGCAACCUGGCGGCGAGUGGCGAACGGGUGAGUAAUAUAUCGGAACGUGCCCUGGAGUGGGGGAUAACGCAGCGAAAGUUGCGCUAAUACCGCAUACGAUCUAAGGAUGAAAGCGGGGGAUUCGCAAGAACCUCGUGCUCCUGGAGCGGCCGAUAUCUGAUUAGCUAGUUGGUGGGGUAAAGGCCUACCAAGGCAUCGAUCAGUAGCUGGUCUGAGAGGACGACCAGCCACACUGGAACUGAGACACGGUCCAGACUCCUACGGGAGGCAGCAGUGGGGAAUUUUGGACAAUGGGCGCAAGCCUGAUCCAGCAAUGCCGCGUGAGUGAAGAAGGCCUUCGGGUUGUAAAGCUCUUUUGUCAGGGAAGAAACGGUAUGGGCUAAUAUCCCGUGCUAAUGACGGUACCUGAAGAAUAAGCACUGGCUAACUACGUGCCAGCAGCCGCGGUAAUACGUAGGGUGCAAGCGUUAAUCGGAAUUACUGGGCGUAAAGCGUGCGCAGGCGGUUUUGUAAGUCUGUCGUGAAAUCCCCGGGCUCAACCUGGGAAUUGCGAUGGAGACUGCAAGGCUAGAAUCUGGCAGAGGGGGGUAGAAUUCCACGUAGCAGUGAAAUGCGUAGAGAUGUGGAGGAACACCGAUGGCGAAGGCAGCCCCCUGGGUCAAGAUUGACGCUCAUGCACGAAAGCGUGGGGAGCAAACAGGAUUAGAUACCCUAGUAGUCC
rnacentral:rRNA from 1 species